AAACGACUCUCGGCAACGGAUAUCUUGGCUCUCGCAUCGAUGAAGAACGUAGCGAAAUGCGAUACUUGGUGUGAAUUGCAGAAUCCCGUGAACCAUCGAGUCUUUGAACGCAAGUUGCGCCCCAGGCCUUCUGGCCGAGGGCACGUCUGCCUGGGUGUCACAA
rnacentral:rRNA from 1 species